AUUGAACGCUGGCGGCAUGCCUAACACAUGCAAGUCGAACGGCAGCGCGGGGGCAACCCUGGCGGCGAGUGGCGGACGGGUGAGGAAUACAUGGGAAUCUACCCUGUCGUGGGGGAUAACGUAGGGAAACUUACGCUAAUACCGCAUACGACCGAGAGGUGAAAGCGGCGGACCGCAAGGCGUCGCGCGAGAGGAUGAGCCCAUGUCGGAUUAGCUAGUUGGCGGGGUAAAGGCCCACCAAGGCGACGAUCCGUAGCUGGUCUGAGAGGAUGAUCAGCCACACUGGAACUGAGACACGGUCCAGACUCCUACGGGAGGCAGCAGUGGGGAAUAUUGGACAAUGGGCGCAAGCCUGAUCCAGCAAUGCCGCGUGGGUGAAGAAGGCCUCGGUUGUAAGACC
rnacentral:rRNA from 1 species